UGUAUCAAUGAUGACCGCUCAUGAUGUAUGAUCCGUGGAUCAUGACUACAGGUCUGGGAGGCUGAGCUUCAC